rnacentral:misc_RNA from 1 species
GUUAUAAACAGACUGUUGGUCGUAAUCGUAGAGCUGCUGUUCCAGAGAAUGUGAGUUUAUCACGAUUGGAAUGAAUUUAUUCGUGUCUUACCUGGACAGAGAGAUGCAAAUACGAUGUUCCGUCUGGACGUCCUUCAGGAUCAUCCUGCAAUAACGUGGCUAUGGUGGAAUGAAAGGAAAAGAAUGCAGCACGGCAGAGGAGGCUAGAUGAGCAGCAAUUUUCAGAGAGGUGCAUGUGCAGAUCACCCAGCAAUUGUACACGAAGCACGAAGUCGUACAUCUCUGAGAGGAAACCUAAGUGGAAAGCACGUGUGUGGAAGAAUUCGCGGUCCAUACCUGGCCCGCCAUUUUGGCGGCAUGGUCCUUUGGGCCACUAUACUAUUCCUACAAGGAGCUGGUUUUGUAGGCUCAGUGACAGGGAUUCCUGGUGUUCCGGAAAAUAUAACGGUGAUGUUCCUGAAUCCGACGUCUGUCCGCGUUUCUUGGAGCACCAGCCAGGUCGAUCAAGUUGAGAAGUACGACGUCACGUACAAGCCAACUGAUGCCAGUUACAGGGUGGUGGCGGUGGUCGCAGGAAAUAGCGAAGCUGUUACGUUGAGCGGCCUCAGGGCUGAUACGCAAUACCAACUUGUCGUCACUGCCGUGAGAGCCGGCAAAAAAUUUCGAAGUCGACCAAUCGUCUUCCGAACACUUGAACCACCACGAACAUCCCCUCAACAGGAUGCAGCGGUAACAGGCGGUCCUCUUCCACCUCCUCCACCUUCUUCACAACAACCACAACCUUAUCUGCAAGUUCGUGGCGUAGAGGUUGGCAUAGUGGUGUUGGUGCUGAUCUUCUGGGCAGGCGCAAUAGCACUUUUCUUCAAUCGUUGGGGAAAGAUCCGCAUGUUGCUACCAUACCAGCCCGAUUACAAGGAGCAAUUGAAAGUUCCUGGGACUGGAGUAUGCGCAGCGGCAAACGCUGCAUACACGCAACAUCCUACUCAGCAUACUUGCUCUCAGCAUCUGCACUGGUCGAGCCAUCACGUGGACUCCUUGGAUAGCGGAGGUGGUUUGGGAUGGCCAAGAACCUCGAGGCCGCGGGUGAAUAGCGCCAUCGACGUGGCCGGCUUCCUAUCCCAGGAAUUUCUAAGACGACAUGGUUCAACGUCGAAGUUGUGCCGGAAGGUUCGCAGUGCAGAUAACUUGCCACUCGCAUCGACGAUUCGACAACAGGAGCAACGAAAUUCGAAAGAGGAUGGCAUAGAUGGCGAUAAAGAGAUCUUCCUGAAAUCAACCCAGGAAGAGAAAGGCGAGGACUCGGAGUCAAAGAGACAAAGCAGCCUCGAGAGUUGUCCAAAGGAUAAUCCAGAUGUCUCACUACUCGAUCCAAAUCAGCAACAACCGUCUUCGAGAGAUUCUCCAGUGACGUCUUCAUCGUCGUUCGUUGGGCGGCGCUUCGGGGGAUGGCGAGCCGGCGGAAGCCAUGAAUAUGUUCGGUGUCCUGUACGACAACCUGCUUCCAUGGAUGAGCGGUGUUAUCGGCGAUCUUGCGAUACCGACGCUCGCCUACCCCGUUACCAUCAUUAUCAUCGGCGUGCCGGGAUCGAACGGCAUUCGAAGAGCUGCGACUAUGCGAGACGUACGCCCGAAUCAAGCAUCGAGGUCCAACAUUUUGGUCUACCCAUACUUAGUGUCAGCGAGCCCAGUCCGCCAGACGAGAACGACCGCGUGGACGAUUAUUUGUAGGAUUUGCUUGCCGAGGACUUCCAAAAGGAGCUCCUCGUAUGAUCUCAUGUACUCAUCCCAUUGCUUCGUGUGAUUUGAAAACUCGAAUCCGUGCAUCAGUCAGAAGGUAACCUCGAAGCAGAAAAACUCUCGAUCGCACAGCGACAAAACGAGGAACGACAUUCUCGAUUGUACUCAAUUGUACUCGAUACUAAUCCCUCGAAACGAAAUUCUUUACCAUGUUUCAUUACGACAAGUUCAAAUCGAAAUCUUCGGAAUCAACGAUGCACCGCGAUCACGUGGUUUCAAAUACGAAGCACGAGGCAAGGUUCACACGGUAAAUUUAAAUUCUCGAAGCGAGACUCUGGAACAAUUUUUGAUUAUACAAUGAGACGAAGGAGAGACAAAGGAAUGGUGAAGGAAAAUUUUCCACGGCGAUGCUCUACGUAUCCAUGAACUGGUUGUUGAGACACUACAUGGAAACCCGAGAUGAAGUUUUCGAUUGUGUGAUGGUAAACUCGAAACGAAAUAUUCCGUCACAGGUGUGUUUCAUCGAUUGCCACCGAUAACAUUCAAAUUUUGCAGUUUUACAUGCAAACUUUUGGCGAAAUAAUCCACUUGCAAAUGUCAUCGAUCGUUGUCCGUGAUACCGGACUAUACGACUUUAUAGUUCGAGCGAUACUGAGGUUGAAAAAUUAUUAUAUCUACCGAUGGUUCCGAAUAGUACCGCAUUGACACGCUAGAUGUCACUGACACUCAGAACCGACUGCAGUUCAUAGCAGUAGGUAUUUUAACGCGUAGCAGUGAAAGGGAAAAAUAUUGAUAUUUGGAAGAAUUUGAACUUUUCAUAAACCAUUGUCGGCGAUAUCCAACACGAAAGUACUUAUUCUAAAUUGACGUUGUACGAUUUGAUUGCACUCAA